rnacentral:rRNA from 1 species
GGCUAGCAGCCCCGGUAAUAUGUACGGUCUGAGGGUUAAUCGGGAAUUACUGGGCGUAAAGCGUGCGCAGGUGGUUUUGUAAGUCAGAUGUGAAAUCCCCGGGCUUAACCUGGGAACUGCGUUUGAAACUACAAGGCUAGAGUGUGGCAGAGGGGGGUGGAAUUCCGCGUGUAGCAGUGAAAUGCGUAGAGAUGUGGAGGAACACCGAUGGCGAAGGCAGCCCCCUGGGUCAACACUGACGCUCAGGCACGAAAGCAUGGGGAGCAAACAGGAUUAGAUA